rfam:Epilithonimonas sp. FH1 contig06, whole genome shotgun sequence.
CUAUAGCCCCGAUAGUAGCGGUUACCCCACAGCAAGCGUCGGGAAAAGCCUUGGCACGAGGAGUAGUAGCGGAUAGCGGGAAAUAGC